GCCCUAAAUAUGUCAACUGGUUGUCGGGGNAAGCAAUUCCUUGGUAACGAAGCUAACGCGUGAAGUUGACCGCCUGGGGAGUACGGCCGCAAGGUUAAAACUCAAAGGAAUUGACGGGGACCCGCACAAGCGGUGGAUUAUGUGGAUUAAUUCGAUGCAACGCGAAAAACCUUACCUACCCUUGACAUGCCAGGAACCUCGCAGAGAUGUGAGGGUGCCCGAAAGGGAACCUGGACACAGGCGCUGCAUGGCUGUCGUCAGCUCGUGUCGUGAGAUGUUGGGUUAAGUCCCGCAACGAGCGCAACCCUUGCCAUUAGUUGCCACAUUCAGUUGGGCACUCUAAUGGGACUGCCGGUGACAAACCGGAGGAAGGUGGGGAUGACGUCAAGUCCUCAUGGCCCUUAUGGGUAGGGCUUCACACGUAAUACAAUGGCCGGUACAGAGGGCAGCCAACCCGCGAGGGGGAGCUAAUCCCAGAAAGCCGGUCGUAGUCCGGAUUGCAGUCUGCAACUCGACUGCAUGAAGCCGGAAUCGCUAGUAAUCGCGGAUCAGCAUGUCGCGGUGAAUACUUCCCGGGUCUUGUACACACCGCCCGUCACACCAUGGGA
rnacentral:rRNA from 1 species